UAGUAGGCGGGGUAACGGCCCACCUAGUUUACGAUGGAUAGGGGUUUUGAGAGGAAGGUCCCCCACAUUGGAACUGAGACACGGUCCAAACUCCUACGGGAGGCAGCAGUGAGGAAUAUUGGUCAAUGGGCGCGGGCCUGAACCAGCCAAGUAGCGUGAAGGAUGACUGCCCUACGGGUUGUAAACUUCUUUUAUAAAGGAAUAAAGUGAGGCACGUGUGCCUUUUUGUAUGUACUUUAUGAAUAAGGAUCGGCUAACUCCGUGCCAGCAGCCGCGGUAAUACGGAGGAUCCGAGCGUUAUCCGGAUUUAUUGGGUUUAAAGGGAGCGUAGAUGGGUUGUUAAGUCAGUUGUGAAAGUUUGCGGCUCAACCGUAAAAUUGCAAUUGAUACUGGCAGCCUUGAGUACAGUUGAGGUAGGCGGAAUUCGUGGUGUAGCGGUGAAAUGCUUAGAUAUCACGAAGAACUCCGAUUGCGAAGGCAGCUUACUAAACUGCCACUGACAUUGAUGCUCGAAAGUGUGGGUAUCAAACAGGAUUAGAUACCCUGGUAGUCCACACGGUAAACGAUGAAUACUCGCUGUUUGCGAUAUACUGCAAGCGGCCAAGCGAAAGCGUUAAGUAUUCCACCUGGGGAGUACGCCGGCAACGGUGAAACUCAAAGGAAUUGACGGGGGCCCGCACAAGCGGAGGAACAUGUGGUUUAAUUCGAUGAUACGCGAGGAACCUUACCCGGGCUUGAAUUGCACUCGGAUAUAGCGGAAACGUUAUAGCUAGCAAUAGCGAGUGUGAAGGUGCUGCAUGGUUGUCGUCAGCUCGUGCCGUGAGGUGUCGGCUUAAGUGCCAUAACGAGCGCAACCCUUGUCUAUAGUUACUAACAGGUCAUGCUGAGGACUCUAUGGAGACUGCCAUCGUAAGAUGUGAGGAAGGUGGGGAUGACGUCAAAUCAGCACGGCCCUUACGUCCGGGGCCACACACGUGUUACAAUGGGGGGUACAGAGGGCCGCUACCACGCAAGUGGAUGCCAAUCCCGAAAGCCUCUCUCAGUUCGGACUGGAGUCUGCAACCCGACUCCACGAAGCUGGAUUCGCUAGUAAUCGCGCAUCAGCCAUGGCGCGGUGAAUACGUUCCCGGGCCUUGCACUCACCGCCCGUCAAG
rnacentral:rRNA from 1 species